rnacentral:tRNA from 1 species
AGGAGUGUAGCUCAAUUGGUAGAGCACCGGUCUCCAAAACCGGGGGUUGUCGGUUCGAUCCCGGCCACUCCUGCCA